rnacentral:rRNA from 1 species
CAGUCGCCGCGGUAAUACGAAGGUCCCGAGCGUUGUUCGGAAUCACUGGGCGUAAAGGGAGCGUAGGCGGCGUGGUAAGUCAGAUGUGAAAUCCCGGGGCUCAACCCCGGAACUGCAUCCGAUACUGCCAUGCUAGAGGAUUGGAGAGGCAGCUGGAAUUCUUGGUGUAGCAGUGAAAUGCGUGGAGAUCAAGAGGAACACUCGUGGCGAAAGCGAGCUACUGGACAAUAACUGACGCUGAGGCUCGAAGGCCAGGGUAGCGAAAGGGAUUAGAUACCCCCGUAGUCCCUGUCUCUUAUAA